rnacentral:snoRNA from 1 species
CUACUGCACAUAUGUCAAAUUCCCACUAGUAUUUUCAGUUGCUCUUGCAGCGACGCGUGACUAAUGGAGCCGUAAUUGUGCAGAAAUCGAACCCUCAGCUGGACACGACGCUGGGAGGCACCGCCUCCCAGCUCGGCAGCACACCGGUCUCCUCGGUGUGCGGCGGUCGUGUCCAACUGACAGCC